UCGGCUCCCACCCGGGCCCGGAGUCCUGCUGGGUCCUAGCGCUCGCCGUCCGGGCCGCGGCCCGCUCUGCAGCCUGCACGUACUGUGGGGCGGCCGGGGAGGGGGAGCCCCGGGAAAGCACUAGUGGGAAAGCCGAGCCGCCGUGGGUGCGGAGAAAAACGAGUUCAGUGCCAAAGCCUGGGUGUGCAAAGAAAGACGCUGGCUUCAGCCGAACUCCCAGAAGGCAGAUGCUAGAAUCUGCAGCCCGGGUGUAAAGCACAAACGUGGCCGGGGAGGUUUGCUCCGUGCACCUGUGGUAUAGAGUGCGCUCACAGAAGGUACUUCUGUGACCUUUAUCGUAUCUCCAAUAAAAACCACAUAAUUCCCAGCUUUUGAAGAAGGCAAUGGAGGGCCAGGUAAGGACCCAUCCGAAGCCACCCAGCUGCUGAGCAGCGCAGCUGGAAUGCUGGUGUCAAGCCUCCCACACUUUGAGCAAGUCCUAUUCUGGCAAGCAGACAUCUGCCCCCAUCAACUACUUCUCUGCAGAUGCUGUGGGAAUGCAGGAGAGCGGAGAGAAAGUCCUCUGGAAUGUUCUGCUGGAGAGAGCACUCAAGCAUGGCCAGGCUGUGGAGGGCCAGAAAGGUGAGACCAUCUAAGGGAGACACCGUCACAUGAAGAAUUGCUGUACAUCCUAAGCCUGGGUCCCUUGAGCAUUGAAGGGUCGACUCCGGAAAAUGGCCAGUUUG